AUUAUGUGUUUAAAUUGUAUUAUUAUUUAGUUAGUUACUAAGUAUGAUUAUGCAUGUUAGUUAGUCAUAAGUUAUUUGGUUGCUAGAAUAGUGGGUUUAUGGUUAUUAGACUUGGAGAGAGUUAAAUGAAGGGUAUUGUGGUAAUUGGAUGAUACCUUAAGAGAAGGGUUUUAAUUUGUCUUAAAUAAGAGAAAAGAGAGGAAGAAAGAGAAGAGAGAAAAGAAAGAAAAAGAGAAAGAAUGAGAGUAGAGAAGCAAAUCUCGUUUUCCAUGCAUCAGCUCCACUAAAUCUUCGAUUGCAGAUUCGUUAACCGUUGGAUCUCAACGAGAUUUUGAGGGUAGGUUCGCAACAUACAAACGCAACUUUUGACCGUUGGGAUCGUCAAAAUAAGGUCUGAGGUGGGAGAAAUCAUGCUCGCAAUUUACAGUUCGAAAUUGGGGGAAAAUGAAGAAAAGGAAGAGAAAUGCAAGAGCAAAGAGUAAAUUGGAGCUUGAGGAUUCAAGAGGAGUGGAGGACUAGAGUUUCCAACAUUAAUACAAGGUUCUCAGGUUGUAUGUUUGUUGGUGUUCGAGUUAUUGGUGACAGCUCCGCUCUGGUUGUGACACGGGGAAGGGUUCAUAGAGUAUUUAUUUGUUGUUUUAUUUAAAUUAAAGGUGUAUCUUUUAUAAAAGGAUUUUGUAUAAGUGAUGAUUACUAAUUAAUUUUAUUAGUAGAGUUUUUAAUGAAGAAUGUAACACCUUGAACCGUGAUUUAUAAUUCAUUUUUUACUUCGAGUCUUAAAGUCAUUUUUAUCCGCUGCGUAGUUUCGAAAAACCAUUCUUUUAUUAAGAUAAAUUAAAUAAUGGGUCAGGGUUGUUACAAAGUGGUAUCAGAGCCCCGUUGUCUUCGGACUGUGUGGGUUAUGUGUCAGUCAGAGCAGGUCUGUGCAGUCAGGCCGAGUGAGCGCGGUGUCAGUCGUGUCUGUGUAACUGUUAUGAUUUCUUGUGAAUUAAUUUUUGUAGUUACACUUGCACAUCAGUCACUAUUUAAUUGUUUUGCGAAUGUGUGACUAGUUUCAUGAAUUUUGUUGCUAGUUCUUUUGUUAGCGUGUUGUUUUAUUUGAUUCUCGAGACUUAUGUUUUAAUUGGUAUUGACUUUAGCAUCUAUAAUUCUUGUUUCAUGAUUGGAUGUUAAAAUGAUGAUUGUCUUAAGUGCUAUUUGUUAAUACUUGAAUAAUAUGUGAUGUUUUAUUCUAGUUGAUUGAGUAUAAGAUUUAUUGUCUUAUUUGUGUUUCUUGUGAUUAAAUUAAAUGUGAAAAUGAUAAUUGUUUCGUUGUUAAUUGAAAUUGUGUAGAAUAUUAGAAUUUACUUUAUGCUACAUGAAUUCAUACAUGAUUUGAAUAUGUUAAUGGGAUGAAUAGUUUAAUUUAACUAUUUAUAGUAGAGUUUAUGUGAAUUCUUAUGUAUGUUUGCAUGUAUACUUUUAUGUGUAGUUCUUUAUGACAUGAGAUAAUUUUAGAACUAGUAUUAAUUUCCGAUGAUGUGAAUUUUAUCGAAAAUCUAAUUGUUUUCUUUUGAGUAAGUGAAACAUAAUUUUAUCAAGUAAGAAGAGUAGAAUAUUAAUAGUAUAGUUAAGUGGAUUCUAGGAUAUGUUUGACAUAUGUUUUGUUCUAUAUGAUAUGUUCUAGAUUAUUGCUAUUUGACUUGUGCUUUUGGUUAUUUGUAAGUUAUAGUGAAUAACUAUGCUAUUUUCUAUAAGAUGAAUUUGAUAAAUGUGUUGUACAAGUUGACUAUUUUAUUUUGUCAUGUUAGUUAUCAUGUUAAGAUAGAUAUAUUCUAUGCAUAUGUGAAUAUGAAUUGUUGAAUUUUUAAAAUUCAUUGCUAUGAAAUAUUUAUCUUUUCUUGUACUGAUUUGAUUCUCAAUUUUGAGAUUUAGAGAAGAUAUAUGUUUCUUGAAUGUCUAUGUGAAAUGCUAUGUUUUGCUUUUGUGCAAUUUUAUAUAAAUGUUCAUGUUUUGUAUUUUGUAGUUUACCCAUUGUAUGCGACAUGUGUGUAAACAUUGUCGAUACUAGUUUCUUUCGUGGGAGCUAGUUAGAGAAUCGUAGAAGUCUCCAGUUAAGUAUGAGAGUUGAGAAUUACAAUAGGAGUUAUAAGUGGGUUUGAGAUAAGUGGGGGAGAAGGUUAACUUCCUUUGAGAUGUUUAAGUGUAGAAGAAUAAGUUAGAUAGAGAUGUCCGGAGUAGAGCGUUCAUGUGUUGGUGUUGUCCAUUUCGGAGUUAGAUGAUUUGGAAGAACAGUUAGAAGACCGCUGGAGAAGAAGUUUGUCGGAUCGAUUGUUUUGCCAUGAAGAGCGCCAAUGUUGUUAAGUAAGAAGAGAUGAUGAAUUAUGAGAAAAUCGGCGGAGAUUGGUAAGAUCAAAUUCAUUAUGCUUGGUAUGAUGAAGAAAGGCUUAGCAUACGUGUAGUGCAUAUGAUGAAGGAAUAAAAGAUUUCAGAUAUUGUAAUCAAGGACGAGUAGACAAUAAUAAUGUGAUGGAAUAUUCAGGAUAUAUUUUGGAUGUGAGUAUCUCGACGGAAGAAGUGAUAUUGGAAACGUUGUAUAUUAAGAAAAAAAAAAGGUUGGUUAAGUGAUGGAUUAUGAAUGAAGCAAUUAUGUUGGAACUCGACAUAAGAAAUCGACAUUGGUGUAAAAGGAAUAGUUGUGUCAUUAAUGACGUGAUUUCGAUGUGUAUCGGUAAGAGUUUGAGGACCUUAUCGGCAACCGAGUAUGGCGAUGAUAAAUUUAAAACUAUGGUUUGGAUAAGAUUUGGACGUGAACGUAUAAGGAUUAAGAGGAAUGUAAAGACUUAUGAAAAAUCAUGAUGUGAAAUCCCUAUGGAGAUGAGAUUUAUUUGGAACGUAAUGGAUUGAAGAGUACUUAUGGUGGAAUAUUUCUUUCCGGAUGUUUCGUUCUUAGGAAAGCACUAUUGUAGAUUGACAAAGAUGGUUCAUGUCACCAUAAUGGUUGUUGUCUAUCUAUUAAUAAAUUGAGGGAAUGGCCACCCUUGAUCUCUUGUUAACGAGUAGACAAGAUCGUGUGACCGGAAUGGACUAGUUUUGUCAACCUUUGGUAGUGUAUAGAGUUUGAAUGUUUUGUUGGAGAAUGGGAUGAAAAGAUUUCGUCUAGGGUUGUCUUAGUCGGACAAUUUUCGAGGGCGAAAAUUCUUUUAAGUGGGGGAGAGUUGUAACGCCCCAUAUUUUAUUAAUUAUUUAUUUGUGUGAUUAAUUGAUUAUGUGUUUAAAUUGUAUUAUUAUUUAGUUAGUUACUAAGUAUGAUUAUGCAUGUUAGUUAGUCAUAAGUUAUUUGGUUGCUAGAAUAGUGGGUUUAUGGUUAUUAGACUUGGAGAGAGUUAAAUGAAGGGUAUUGUGGUAAUUGGAUGAUACCUUAAGAGAAGGGUUUUAAUUUGUCUUAAAUAAGAGAAAAGAGAGGAAGAAAGAGAAGAGAGAAAAGAAAGAAAAAGAGAAAGAAUGAGAGUAGAGAAGCAAAUCCCGUUUUCCAUGCAUCAGCUCCACUAAAUCUUCGAUUGCAGAUUCGUUAACCGUUGGAUCUCAACGAGAUUUUGAGGGUAGGUUCGCAACAUACAAACGCAACUUUUGACCGUUGGGAUCGUCAAAAUAAGGUCUGAGGUGGGAGAAAUCAUGCUCGCAAUUUACAGUUCGAAAUUGGGGGAAAAUGAAGAAAAGGAAGAGAAAUGCAAGAGCAAAGAGUAAAUUGGAGCUUGAGGAUUCAAGAGGAGUGGAGGACUAGAGUUUCCAACAUUAAUACAAGGUUCUCAGGUUGUAUGUUUGUUGGUGUUCGAGUUAUUGGUGACAGCUCCGCUCUGGUUGUGACACGGGGAAGGGUUCAUAGAGUAUUUAUUUGUUGUUUUAUUUAAAUUAAAGGUGUAUCUUUUAUAAAAGGAUUUUGUAUAAGUGAUGAUUACUAAUUAAUUUUAUUAGUAGAGUUUUUAAUGAAGAAUGUAACACCUUGAACCGUGAUUUAUAAUUCAUUUUUUACUUCGAGUCUUAAAGUCA